AGUUGAAUGAGUUACGUACAAUCGUUUUGUAAGGACUUUAUUGAUCGUAUGAUAUAUGAUACACUUAACGAAAUAGUUAAGCGUAAAUUGUUCAGAAAAUGGAGACGAGUAUAGCACAGUGUGGCGGUUGCUUUUCUGAUAAGGUUACUGUGAUUUGCGAAAACUGUGAGAUUAAACUGUGCGAGAUAUGUUUUACGAAUCACACGAGGGAAAAAUGUUCUGUUCGCACAUAAUUGUUCUCAUCGAAAGUGCUUAUAAUUCAUGUAUAAUGUCGAAUUUACAAACUGAAAAAUCAGCUUAUACAGGAUUAGAAUCACCGGUCGAUAUUAAUGCUGAUAUUCACAAGCAAAAAUGUAAAGAUCACACUGAUGAAAACCAGUCGUUUUAUUGCGAGAAACAUUCUGUAUGUAUUUGUGGUCGUUGUGUUUUUUCAAAUCAUUUUUCUUGUUUGGAGACGGUGGUUGAUUUGAACAAUGUCCAGCACGACGAAGAACACAUGAAUAAGAGUGUUUCUACAUUGCAAGUAUUGGACGAAGAAAUAGACCACAUUAUGGCCGAAAUAGACGAAAAGAGACAAAAAAUGAUGCAUGUAGAUCAAACUAUGAAAAAGACAUAAAUGAAUUUCAAGGAGCGUUAGUCAAGCAACUGAAAAUGUUGAUGAUAAAAGCAGAACAAGAAAGUGAUAACUUACACAAACAAAAUACAGACGUACUUGAUGAAACGGCACUUAAAUGUAAAGAACAUAGACAAGUUUUACGGCAGCAUAUUCAAUAUUUAGAUGAGUUAAAACAUAAAAAGCAUUAUCGGCAAUUAUUCGUUGCACUUAAGAGAUUGGAGAAAAAUAUUAAUUCAUUUAAAGAUAAAAACGUUAGAUUUAGACAUGAAAAUCAUAUUUAUCAAUAUGAAUUUGUUCGCAACUUCAAGAUUGAUAAACUAAUCGAGGUAGAUCAGCAUAUUGGAAAACUUAAGAUUGAAUGUGAUGGAAGUGACGAAGUAAUUGAAAUCGUUGAGGAGAAGGUAGCUUGCGUAUCUGAUAUAGGAAUGCGAGAUGAGAAAAAUGAAGAGAAAACACCCGAUGAAGAAGAAAAUUCAAAGAGUUGUCGUUUAGAACACGAAGACUUUGAAGGGUUACAAUGCGAUUAUUGUGAAAAAUUAGAGCGUCUUAAAGAGUUAGAAGAAUCUAUUCGAAAACGAGAAGAGAUGCACAUAAACAAAGAGAUUCAGUUUGAUGAGCAGUUGAAAUGUCUGAAAAAAAAGAUACGACAAUUUCAGAACUAGAAAAAAGCAUUAAUGCUGAAAAAGAGAGAUGUAACAGUUUGAAACGCGUAUAUGAACAGAAAAUUAAAAAGCUACAAGAAGAUUUGGGUAAACGGGAGAUUACUCAACAACAUGAACUAGAAAAACGCAUUAAUUUUGAAAAGAGAAAUGCAACAGUAUGAAGCGGGAGGAUGAACUGAUGAUUAAAAAAAUACAAGACGAAUUGGCUGUUUCGGAACAGAAUGUUAAAC